rnacentral:rRNA from 1 species
GACGAGGGGUCCUAGCGUUGUUCGGAAUCACUGGGCGUAAAGAGCUCGUAGGCGGCUUGUUGCGUCGACCGUGAAAACCUGUGGCUUAACUACAGGCUUGCGGUCGAUACGGGCGGGCUGGAGUUCGGUAGGGGAGACUGGAAUUCCUGGUGUAGCGGUGAAAUGCGUAGAUAUGCGGAGGAACACCGAUGGCGAAGGCAAUCCCCUGGGCCUGCACUGACGCUCAUGCACGAAAGCGUGGGGAGCAAACAGG